AGAGUACACAGGGAAGAUAAAUACAACUGUAGAAUUACAGUAUGGUGGCUGAAUUAUGAAUGGAAAUUAAACAAAUCAUUAUAACAAUGGGGUUUUUUCAUCACUGUUACUGUAGAAAUAUGAUUAAUUCUGAAUCUUUUUGCAGCUUGUAAAUAUUAAGCAUUCAAAUUAAAAGUAGUUUUUCCAUAGGAGCACAUUUUGAAAAUACAAGUCAUUCAACACAACCAUAAACACUCCAAACAUUAUUCUUCAGGCUUAUUGAUUACUGCACUUAAAAUAACGUUUUAGUUCUUUAAUAGAUAUUGAGAUUUUGUUUUGAAAAGAAGGAAACUGAGCAUUCUUAGAAUCUAGACUAGCCAAUCCCAGAGUGAGUCACUGAGGUCAGUAAAACAAACAGUCUUUAGCCCAAACCCAAGGAAAAGAUCUUUCAAGGAGACCAAGUGGGGUAACAUGAGCAUGAAGUGAUUAACCUGCUUGAAUUAUUUGUCAACUGAGAUUCCAUGUGUUUUGCUCAUCUCACCAGCAUACAGAAAUUAGCCUACUAGAGAUUGGCCUUUGGCCAGAUGUACAGGACAUUGUUGUCUGCAGUAGAUGCAGAAAAUAUAAAAAUGCUGUCAGCUCUUUCCCUACCUUCAAGUCAAGAAGCUUUUCCAGGACAGGGUCAUGUCUUCCUCAUCUUUGCUUCCCAGCUGCUUGGCAUAUCAUCUGUCGCAGAGCAACUUCUCAGUAUACGUUGAAAAAUACUUCUGAAGUGUUCUGCUCCAAUCAGAAUUUUGCCUUACCUUAAGGAUCUGAAUAGCAUCACAUCAGCAUUUGUAUUCCUGGACCUGAAAGAGAAGAAGAUGUAAAGUUCCUCAGAUCCUACCUGUUCAGACACAGCCAUCCUUCAGUGUCAUCUCUGUACCGAAGACCUCUCCAGCUGCAUCAACCUUUCCAUAUCCUAAAUGCCUUAAUCUUAAUGCAACUUUGGACCACGUAAGGCAUUCUCUGAUUUAGUGGUUCUAACGCAAGGUCAAUGACACAGUGGCUGUGAAAUAAGUUGUGAGAAGAAAGGGCUUUUCAGCUAGCCCUGGGAGUCAAAUGUAGUUCAAAGACUCUGUUACCUCUAAUGUAGCCUGAUGUCUCCAGGAAUGUGGAAAAAAAACAUGAAGAGCUACUCCUCUGACAGUUUCAUGUUGAUUGUUCUCCAUUUGUUAGUUUUGUCUCAUUGUCUAAAUUGUAAACUAGAAAAUUUGGAUAAUUCUCUACAUAAUGCUCCAUUUCAUUGAUAAAUAAUUUACAAGUAAAUUAUUUAAAUAUGUUUUUAAAAUGUAUGACUUUUACAUAUAAGUAAUACUUUUUACUUUCAUGUACAUUGAAGGCAAUCUCUAUACAGGAACAUACAGAGCUGCCAUGUUCUUAUUAAUAGCUGCACACUAUUUUGAGGACAUAUGUACAUAUACAAGUAUAGACACCUAUAUGCACAAAUAUAUAUAUGUAUACAUGCCAUAACUUAAACAAUUUCCUAUUGAUACGCAUUUAUAUUAUUUUGAUUU
rnacentral:lncRNA from 1 species